GUGAGGAGGUCGGAGCGGAGCGUGAGGAGGUCGGAGCGGAGCGUGAGGAGGUCGGAGCGGAGCGUGAGGUCAAUGAAGGAAAUCUUGUAUAUCCACAGAUUGAUUCUAUAGAUACUAGAAUGAUGAAGAAAGUUGUCAAGGAACCUCCAGCACAAAGUAAAAAUGGAGCGGUUAAGGUCAUUGAACCCAACAGAAUACUAAACAAGGAGAUGAAGCCAAGCAGUAAGAAGAAAACAAAUAAACAAUCUGCUUCUCUGGAAAAUGCAAGGAGGGUCAAAAAGCAUCCUUGGUCUCCCACGGAGGUUGCUGCGAUAAUGAAGCAUUUUGGCGAACAUAUCAAAAAAGGAAAACUGGCCACUAUUAUCGAAUGCCAGCAAUGCAAAACUGCAGAAGAUCCUGCUCUGGCUGGUCGUUCUAUUCAAAACAUCAGAGAUUUUGUGAGGAAUCGGGGCGUGUCGUUGAAGAAAAAAAGAAAAUCCUAUGUAGAGGAGUCUACAUAACUCCAAAGUACUUCUUGGAGGAGUUACAAAAGAUAUUUUGUAUGUUUUGGUUUCUCAUUUAUUUUAGAAUUUUACUAUUAGAAGAUUGGUAAAUUCAUUUUGUUGACACUGUUUUAGUGCAUCUGAUCUAAGAGGACAUAAUUUUAUAUUGCCAGUUAUUUUCAUUUCUGUUAACAAUCCUGUUUUUGUAAAAUGCACUCAAUUUGUUCCUUUUAUUCACCUGUUGCCCUUUUAAUACACACAAAAUACAUGUUUGUGUAUGUGUAUGGCCUUUGUCCUGUUAAUAAAGUUAGCCCUGACAAUUACUGUUCAUGUCAGGGGGAGGAGCCAAGUUACCUAAUUAGUGUUGUCCUCUUAUUACACCAUGGUGUCAGGUUCUUAUAUUUUGAGUUCUGGUGUGUUUUUCACAAUUUUGAAGUGAGAUUUGUGUUGUACAACUCAAAUGGGAUUUUUAAAGAUGCACUUCAUCUAUCUAGCACAAGCGGA